UACGAAGGGGGCUAGCGUUGCUCGGAAUCACUGGGCGUAAAGGGUGCGUAGGCGGGUCUUAAGUCAGGGGUGAAAUCCUGGAGCUCAACUCCAGAACUGCCUUUGAUACUGAAGAUCUUGAGUCCGGAAGAGGUGAGUGGAACUCCUAGUGUAGAGGUGGAAUUCGUAGAUAUUAGGAAGAACACCAGUGGCGAAGGCGGCUCACUGGUCCGGUACUGACGCUGAGGUGCGAAAAGCGUGGGGGAGCAAAACAGGG
rnacentral:rRNA from 1 species